UUUACACUUACUUUCUUUCUUAUUAUAACGGGUUUAUAACGUAUUAUUGUAUUAUUUCCAUUAAAACAAGUCACAGUGUAUAAAUAUUUUGCAGUAAACUAUUUCGAGACAUAAAUCGGUCUGAUUGAUCUAAGGUGAAACAAUGUUUUAUUCAACAAAGCAUACGUCGUCAUACAGUCGUUUUCAUGAAAUCCAAAUUUUAAUUUUUUGACCUGUGGUCUUAGUGGCUUGAUAUAACGUGGACUUAUGUGUGCAUUGCUGUCUCCUGGUGAGAAGUUACAACAGUUGGUGUAAGUCAACCUACUCGUUAACAGAAAUCUGGAAUUCUCACUAAGCCUUAAAAUCUGAGUCUCCGAAGAAAGAACCUAAAGGUCCAGCUUGACACUGCUCUGAAUGACGGGUAAACGGACAGAUAAACGGCAAGACGGACUAUUUGAUAUCUUGACCUAAAUGUCAAUAACCAGUAAGGUCCUUCCUUGGAUCACGAAUAAUCUACGUUCAAGGAAUCUACAAACACCUACAAGGAAUAACAGGCGAGCAUGCAGACAAAUAGACGGACGUAUGACCUAUUACCCUGUGAUCUCAUAAUCAAUAGAUUUCUUAAAUAUAUAACUAAAAAUGCCUUUAUUUAAGAGCGCUUGUCGUUUAAAAAUGUUUUUCUGAA